GAUGAACGCUGGCGGCGUGCCUAAUACAUGCAAGUCGAGCGAACAGACGAGGAGCUUGCUCCUCUGACGUUAGCGGCGGACGGGUGAGUAACACGUGGAUAACCUACCUAUAAGACUGGGAUAACUUCGGGAAACCGGAGCUAAUACCGGAUAAUAUAUUGAACCGCAUGGUUCAAUAGUGAAAGACGGUUUUGCUGUCACUUAUAGAUGGAUCCGCGCCGCAUUAGCUAGUUGGUAAGGUAACGGCUUACCAAGGCAACGAUGCGUAGCCGACCUGAGAGGGUGAUCGGACACACUGGAACUGAGACACGGUCCAGACUCCUACGGGAGGCAGCAGUAGGGAAUCUUCCGCAAUGGGCGAAAGCCUGACGGAGCAACGCCGCGUGUGUGAUGAAGGUCUUCGGAUCGUAAAACUCUGUUAUUAGGGAAGAACAAAUGUGUAAGUAACUAUGCACGUCUUGACGGUACCUAAUCAGAAAGCCACGGCUAACUACGUG
rnacentral:rRNA from 1 species